CCCUGCUUUUUAUUUCUUUCCUUCUUAUUCCCUUGCUUCAGUAUAGCUACACAGACUUCCAAUCUCUCUGCAUGAAGCGAGAGACCUGCAGUGGGGAACCAUUCUAAGGGGCAUUUAUGCACAUAUAAAAGAGAGAAGGAACACUGGCAUUUUCGGUGUUGACAGAAGUCACAGAAGAAUAACAAUCAGAUGAAGACACCUAAAGAUGAUAAACCUUCCAGGUCUAACCUAUUUCCUCACACUCAGCCUGGCACAUCAAAUGUGAACAUGGAAGAAAACUCAGGGAUCAUUAGAGGACCUGACGGCUCCUCAGAGUCAACUAAGAGCUGUCAUAAAUAGUGAUUGCUAGAUGCAUAGGCAGACAUUUGAACCCAUGUGCUUUGGAGGGCACCAAGGUAAUUUUUCUUUUGAUUUAUUCUUUGUUAACAUCAUCCAUGAAUUUUAGAGUAUAUCUACCCACACUUCUCCCUUCAGUUCCUCCCAGAUCCCUUCUCAUCCUCUAACUUCUUCUUCUUCCUUCUCUCCUUCACAGAAUAUGAUUAGUGAGGUUCACAUAUACAUGAGAGUAGGGUGCCAUUCUCUGCAGCAUGGGUAACUUACCAUGGGCCAUGUGGCUUAGGAAAACUGAUUUACUCUUCCCCAGGGACCAUCAUUGGAGUGGUCCUCAAUUAAGAGUGGGACUCAGGAAGCUGGAACAUUUCUUAAUUUGGUCUCAUACAGCAGCCACAGCUUCUAUGAGUUCAUGAGUGUAUCAGCCCUUCUGGGCAUGUUCAGAAGACAUUAUUUUGCUGUAAUCUUUCCCAACUUCUGGUUCUUAAAAAUCCUUCUGUCUCCUCCAAUGCUCCCUGAGUUUUUCUGGGUGUGAGGAAGCAGUGACGUAAGUGAUCCAUUCAAGGCUGAGCAUCUCUCAGUCUCUGACUUUCUACUGUUUGACCAGUUAUAAAUUGGUCAAACCAGAAGGUACUUAGUACAGAGUAUAUUAUUUUUAUUCUCUGAGAAAAUGCAUUCUCUUGACAUUUCAGAA